AGUGAACGCUGGCGGUAGGCCUAACACAUGCAAGUCGAACGGCAGCACAGUAAUAGCUUGCUCUUACGGGUGGCGAGUGGCGGACGGGUGAGGAAUACAUCGGAAUCUACUUUUUCGUGGGGGAUAACGUAGGGAAACUUACGCUAAUACCGCAUACGACCUACGGGUGAAAGCAGGGGAUCUUCGGACCUUGCGCGAUUGAAUGAGCCGAUGUCGGAUUAGCUAGUUGGCGGGGUAAAGGCCCACCAAGGCGACGAUCCGUAGCUGGUCUGAGAGGAUGAUCGGCCACACUGGAACUGAGACACGGUCCAGACUCCUACGGGAGGCAGCAGUGGGGAAUAUUGGACAAUGGGCGCAAGCCUGAUCCAGCCAUACCGCGUGGGUGAAGAAGGCCUUCGGGUUGUAAAGCCCUUUUGUUGGGAAAGAAAAGCAGCAGGUUAAGACCCCGCUGUUCUGACGGUACCCAAAGAAUAAGCACCGGCUAACUUCGUG
rnacentral:rRNA from 1 species